ensembl:lncRNA
CUCAAAAUCCUGGAUUCAAAUAUUCUUCCUGCCUCAGCCUCAGGAUGCUGGGAAUACACGGUUACCACAUUGCACCUGGUUCUAACGGUUUCAGCAAGAAUGAAUAUUUAUGUUCGGCAUCUCAAGAUGAUAAAAACACAGGCAGCUAAAACACAGCAGGAAAAGCUGCCUGAAGGUCAGAGGAUGAGGGUCUUCCACAGUACGAAGUCACAAAGAGAAUCUCCGGUCACUCUUAAGUGGAAGAAAACACACCGCCGCGUGACGAUUGCGGUCCAACGCCCAUGGGACGUUUGCAUUGUCUUCACAGGGAGUAUUGCAGCAUCGCUUUCGCUUGUUUCCAGCUGUGUUCAUCAUGACUGUAAUUGCAUGAGUCUGAGGAAGUGCGCUUGUCCCCAGGAAGCGUGACGCCACAUUCUGGCCACCGCACCCUGCAGUCUUCCCACCCUCUGCCUGGACUGUUUGUAGAGCGUAGCCCAGAGCCUUGCAUUUGCCGCCUCUAGUGGCGAAGCAGAUGGGUUACAGGGAGCUGAAUUCAGAAGGCAGAGUCCAGGCUCCCACCAACCACCAGGAAGAGCCGCCUCCAGAUGACGAAGUCCAGGACCGAGGGUGAGCAAUUCGCCUGUCAUCCUCUGUGGGAGGACGUCAGCAGGCAGUGCGUGCCACCAGCACCUGGCCCAUCUUUGCUAACUGCCAAGACCUAACCAAUCUUUAUCUUUCAUGACGUCUGUGCUUCCAAACGUACUGCGUGCAAAUGCAAAGGGUUCUCUGUUUAAAUGUUCAUCCAAAUCCCUAAUAAAAGUUUUCACUAUGCUUCUGUUUUUAGUUUUUGUGUUACUUUUGUAAAAUAUCCCUACUCUGUCUUAGAACAGAAAGAAACAAAACAAAACUAAAACCCAACAAUACAAAACAGGGCACUGUUAACCAAUUUCCUGGCACACUGAAUGAGGACAGCUCUCAGAAACCAGGGUGGAGCUGGCUCUCUCCACAGGGGACCUGGCCAGAAGCCCUUAACUAAUACUGAGUGAGCAGAGGCUGGGGAGAGGUUCCUGUUGGAGGUGGAAACAGCUUAGAAAGUAGCCAGGUCCUGCAGGGCCAGGGCAGCCCAGCCUCUUCCAGGAAAACUAGUGUUUUCUGGGACAAUAUAUCUCCUAGGGAAGAUGUUCUUUGGUGUACAUGGUCCCACAUUGGGGUGGGCUGUCCCUUCCCCCCUCCCCCUCCCUUUGUUCUCCAUUUUUGUUUUGUGCUAUGAAACAGAAGUCUCAGAUAACACAGGCUGACCUUGAAUUUACUGAGGGUGACGUUUCACUUCUUAUCUUUCUGCUUCUACUUCCCAAGUGCUGGGAUUACAGGCAUAAACCACCGCAGCUUCCACUAAACUCUUCUGACGCCCUCUGAUUGUGAGGAGCAGGGUACUGCUGUGGUCAGCCAGAGGAGAUCCCCACUAGGAACUUCCACUUGGACCAGAGUCCUCAUCCAGUGGCUGAUGGAAGCAGAGACAGACAUCCACAGAAAUACACUGAGCUGAAAUCUGGAACUUAGUUGAAGAGAGGGAGGAAUGAAGAACGAAGGGGUCUGUACCUGGUUGGAGAAACCCACAGAAACAGUUGGCCUGAAAAAGGGAAAGCAUAUCGACCCCAGAUGCUCUUUGG